UGAAGGCCUUCGGGUUGUAAACCGCUGUCAGAGGGGAUGAAAUGCAUGGGGGUUCUCUCCCAUGUUUGACAGAUCCUCAGAGGAAGUCCGGGCUAAGUUCGUGCCAGCAGCCGCGGUAAGACGAACCGGACGAACGUUWUUCGGAAUCACUGGGCUUAAAGGGUGCGUAGGCGGUGCAGUCAGUCAGAUGUGAAAGCCCUCGGCUCAACCGAGGAAUUGCGUCUGAUACUGCUGUGCUGGAGGGAAGCAGGGGUGAGCGGAACUCACGGUGGAGCGGUGAAAUGCGUUGAUAUCGUGAGGAACACCGGUGGCGAAAGCGGCUCACUGGGCUUCUUCUGACGCUGAGGCACGAAAGCCAGGGGAGCGAACGGGAUUAGAUACCCCGGUAGUCCUGGCUGUAAACGAUGAGCACUUGGUUGGAGGGGCUCCCAUACCCUUUCGGCCGUASCGAAAGUGUUAAGUGCUCCGCCUGGGGAGUAUGGCCGCAAGGCUGAAACUCAAAGGAAUUGACGGGGGCUCACACAAGCGGUGGAGGAUGUGGCUUAAUUCKAGGCUACGCGAAGAACCUUAYCCUGSUYUURACAUGYACKGAUUWAYCCUGUGAAAKCRGGGCCWCGYCUUCYGGUGGAACGUGCACAGGUGCUGCAUGGCUGUCGUCAGCUCGUGWCGUGAGAUGUYGKGUUWARUCCCUUAACCAGCGAAACCCUUGUYKCUUGRUGC
rnacentral:rRNA from 1 species